ACUCUUGCCACUGGGACCUAAGCCCCACCCCUAUCCCCGUCCCUCGGACAUAGGCUCCGCCCCCAGCACCACCCUCUAUGCUCUGUUGGACCCCACUCCAGAGACUAACCUCAUCUCCCGGGGAGGACACCGACUGAGACCACAAACCCUGGCUCCAGUGUCAUGGAAUCAGUCACCUUUGAGGAUGUGGCCGUGGAGUUCAUCCAGGAGUGGGCAUUGCUGGACAGUGCACGGAGGAGCCUGUGCAGAUACAGGAUGCUGGACCAGUGCAGGACCCUGGCCUCCAGGGGAACUCCACCAUGCAAACCCAGUUGCGUCUCCCAGCUGGGGCCAAGAGCAGAGCCACGGGCAACAGAACAAGGGAUUCUCCAUGCCACAGGUGUAGCCUGGGAAUCUCAACUUAAACCCAAAGAGUUGCCUUCUAUGCAGGAUCUUUUGGAAGAAGCAUCCUCCAGGGACAUGCAAAUGGGGCCGGGGCUGUUCCUGAGGAUGCAGCUGGUGCCCUCCAUAGAAGAGAGGGAGACACCAUUGACUCGAGAGGACUGGCCAGCUCUCCAGGAGCCACCUUGGUCUCCAGGAUGCAUGCUGCCCCUCCUGUCCCUGCUGCUGCCACCCUGCCCAGAGCCACCGUUAGUUCUCCUGGACUCCAGUUCUGCUCCUGACAGGCACCUGGGCUCCACCCUGGACACGGAGGCCAGAGGGAUCCCUUAGAAGUGUGACUCAGGUCAGACAUGUUUCCUGAGCGAGCAGCUGCCAGCAGAGAAGAGAUCACAUCCUACUCCAAGGAGAGGUCUUCCUCCCAGAAAAACUCACUGACUGCCUGCUCCUCAUUCACGCGGCUCCACCUCCAAACACCAUCUUCCCUCUAUCCCUCAACCUCCUGGCCAUCCACUCCCCACUUUUUUCCCAGCUUUUUCCUGACUUCUGGAGCCUCCUUGGAGGGUGCCACCUUCCCCAGCCCCUGCCUGGGCGCCCUCUCUCCAGGCCAUUUUGGAUCACAGUGAUUAUUAGCUUUGUAUUUAAGGAUUGGGUAAAUCCUGACAAGGUAAAUGGGUCUAUCUCUUCUUUUAUUAAUAUGUUCCCCAAAGCAGGAUUAAACAUGCACAUUCAUUUGGGGUGAGCAGGUGUGAGUGGACCCCCUCAGCUUCUUGACUCUAAUCUAUGACCCCUGUCACUCUGUCCAGGGACUGAAGGCUGCUGUGCAGAUUCAGAGGGUGGUGAUACCAGUGCCUACACUGAGCCACUGCAACCCAUGGGUGGCCAGGGAUUCUGGUGAGUGAGUGCUGCAUGGAACACGUGGGCAGAGGGCCCUGCUGUCCUUGUGUUCUGUCCAGGAACUUGUAUCCUAUCCUGCCUGCAUUUCCUCUGACUGCAAGCAGUGCCGUGACACCAUAAAGAGGAUACAGAAGGCCUCUCUCAUUAUUUGUGUGUUUAAGGGGGAGGGCACUUCCAGUGACAGAUCUUUAAGAAAGAGAGGGCUCACUCAACCACAGCAAAGGCCAGACCUCUCUUUGGGCAACAUGAAAUUCUUGACUACACGAUAAUGUCGAUUUUGAAAAUUAUGAUUGAAUUUACUAGAAAUGGCCUGUGUUUUAACUGUGUUUUUAUAAAUGAGGUUCAGGCCGGUUGCAGUGGCUCAUGCCUUUAAUCCCAGUGCUUUGCAAGGCCUAGGCAGGAGGAUUGCUUGAGGCCAGGAGUUCGAGACCAGCUUGGGUAACAUCAGGUGAGACCCUUAUUUCUAAAAAAAAAAAAAAAAAAAAAAAAAAAAAA
rnacentral:sRNA from 1 species